GCCACUACAAAACGAACAUCUAAAUCACAAAGGUGGGUUUGCUUACUAUGUCAUUGAGACAACAUCAACACCACACCAUUCUCAAGAUAUUAUCCCUACUGCCUGAAAUGCAUCUAUGAAUUCAGAGCGACAAAAUUUCAAUAAGCAAUGUGAAAGAGACAAAAACAAGGUGAUUCUUUCAGUGGGCACAAUCAACUUGUUUUGUAAGGACAUGGAGGAACUUCUGAAACCUGUUCCUUUAUCAGAAAAAGUAA